CAACAGAUGGCGGUGAGCCCCCUUCUGAUAGCACUAAAGAGGUUGUACCCGUUGACAAACUUCCACUAGAGUCAAAGACGCAGGAAAGACUGGAGCAGAAAAUGAGAAUGAAAUUGGCAAAAAAGAUAAGGCUUAGGAGAAAGCGGCUUGUUCGCAAGCGAAGAAUGAGGAAGAAGGGUCGAUGGCCACCUUCUAAGAUGAAGAAGUUAAAGAAUGUAUGAACUUUACCUCUAGUUUUCUUGAAGGUUUGGUGCUGACCUUUUGUAUGCCUCGAGUCAUUUCAAUUAUUUGUUUUUGUGAAUUCGGACCAUGUUAUCAUGUCAAGGUGUUAUGAAUACCACAAUGGAUUAAUUGUUCGUCAAUCUAUUCAGAAUUGAAUAAUAUAUGGUGUAGAAUUUCAUUUCCUUGUUUCACAUGAUGGAUGCAACGUAUACAAUUAGUGGUUGAAGUCUUGAAGAAUCCAUACAUCUAGAAAUAUGCCAUCGUAAUCUAACUGC
rnacentral:lncRNA from 1 species